rnacentral:rRNA from 1 species
UGGGGAAUUUUGGACAAUGGGCGCAAGCCUGAUCCAGCCAUGCCGCGUGCGGGAAGAAGGCCUUCGGGUUGUAAACCGCUUUUGNCAGGAAGAAAUCUUCUGAGUUAAUACCUCGGGAGGAUGACGGUACCUGAAGAAUAAGCACCGGCUAACUACGUGCCAGCAGCCGCGGUAAUACGUAGGGUGCAAGCGUUAAUCGGAAUUACUGGGCGUAAAGCGUGCGCAGGCGGUUUUGUAAGACAGAGGUGAAAUCCCCGGGCUCAACCUGGGAACUGCCUUUGUGACUGCAAGGCUUGAGUGCGGCAGAGGGGGAUGGAAUUCCGCGUGUAGCAGUGAAAUUGCGUAGAUAUGCGGAGGAACACCGAUGGCGAAGGCAAUCCCCCUGGGCCUGCACUGACGCUCAUGCNCGAAAGCGUGGGGAGCAAGCAGGAUUAG